GAGUCAGUAAAGUUAUGACAUCAGGGGAGAUGAUACUAGCUUCUAUAAAAACACAUAAUUUGGGAGAGUGUCUCACAAUUUAUGUGCUACACUGGAGAUUUCCUGCUGCCUUUAAAGACUCUGCUAUUAUAUUAAAAAUGUUGGAAGGACUAGCAAGAAAGAUUGGAUUGGGCUUGGCUGGCUUCACUAUUCUACCAUGGUUGCUCAUUGUGAUUGGAUUUGGAUUGUUCACUGUUGGCGUCGGUAGAGCAGCAGUAGGUUCUGCGUGGUUCCCCUAUUGGUUCAUCUCCCUGCUGGGUAUUCCAAUCAUUGUGCUGGGAGCUGUUCAUGCUGUUAUCAGUGCACGAUCUGCGAUUAGGAUCCUCAGGACCAUUAUGACAGUUUUCAGUGUCCUGCUCCUUCUCUGUCUGGGGAUGGUCUUCUUUGAUGCAGGAAGGGGCAUUAUUAUCUCCUUAUCAAAUGGCUACCUUUCUAAUCCUGUAAACUUAAUGUUUGCAGGAACACUAUAAUUGCCACUCUGUCCUGGGUGAGUGAAUGCAUGUAGUAAUGUAUAUAACCUUGACACAACAAAAUACAACGCAUCAAAAGAAAAAUCUGAUUGCUGAUACUGUUAACAGUGACGGAUCCAGACAGGGUUCCAUGGACUCGGAAUCCGCCUUUCACACAAGGAUCAACUUACUAGCUAGCAACUCAGCUUGAAUGAUUGUGAUCUGUAUAGUUACUGUAUCUGUAUAGUUACUCUGGCUGAUGUCAUGCAAUUGAUAUGUGGGCUAGGCUUUCUAACUCUCUAAUGUGCAUGCUCAUUGCUUAUAGGUUUACUGUUAAAUAAUUUGAAACCUCCUUCUCAAAUUCCUGGGUCCGCCACUGGUUAACAACUUUCUGCGUGCUUCCCCUUUGGUUCAUCUCCCUGCUGGGUAUUCCAAUCAUCGUGCUGGAAGCUGUUCAUGCUGUUAUCAGUGCACUACAAUUACUUGCACAGCACAUGAAACAGCUUCUCUCUCUCUGUUCACAGCUUAAAACAUAUACAAUUACUUGAAGUGCACAGUACACGAAAAAAACGAUAUUCUCUCUCUCUU